rnacentral:rRNA from 1 species
AACGAACGCUGGCGGCAUGCCUAACACAUGCAAGUCGAACGAGACCUUCGGGUCUAGUGGCGCACGGGUGCGUAACGCGUGGGAACCUGCCCUUAGGUUCGGAAUAACUCCCCGAAAGGGGUGCUAAUACCGGAUAAUGUCUUCGGACCAAAGAUUUAUCGCCUUUGGAUGGGCCCGCGUUGGAUUAGCUAGUUGGUAGGGUAAAAGCCUACCAAGGCGACGAUCCAUAGCUGGUCUGAGAGGAUGAUCAGCCACACUGGGACUGAGACACGGCCCAGACUCCUACGGGAGGCAGCAGUGGGGAAUAUUGGACAAUGGGCGAAAGCCUGAUCCAGCGAUGCCGCGUGAGUGAUGAAGGCCUUAGGGUUGUAAAGCUCUUUUACCCGGGAUGAUAAUGACAGUACCGGGAGAAUAAGCGCCGGCUAACUCCGUG